AUGACGCCGCCGCGAGCCUUCUAUGGUGACGCUGACGCCGGCCUCCUCUCGCAGCACCGCCAGCGCUCUGCUCGUAGAAGUUCGAUGCCGGAUCCAGAAGAAGUUCGAGGAAUGCUCCUGACACCAGAGCUACCAUCCGCCCCCGCUCUCCGCCCCCGCGUGAGGAUCCUACCGGAAAAAGCGAGAUUGACUCACCCAAGCAUUGACUCCUCCCGGGCUCUGCCGACCUGCUCCCAUGAUCCGCCGCCCCCAGCAGCAACACCCUUGCUCCCCAAAGCAGCCGCCCAGGGGCAUUAUGCCAUCUGUAGUGCAUCUAGCCCAACACACCAUGCUCCUCAACUCUCUCCUCUGCACCUCCUGCCUUGGCAUCCCUCGCGUGUGACCUUCUCCAGUGCCUCUGAUCGACCUUCCCGUCAUCUCUUGCUUGAACCCGUGCACCACUUCUUCUGA
rnacentral:rRNA from 1 species